UCCCCGGUUGGUCUGUCGGCAGGGCCCGCCGCACUUUGAAUGCGGAUAAAGCGACGUAGGUUCGACUCCUACCCGGGGAGCCA
rnacentral:tRNA from 2 species